UAUCUUUUACAAAACCUUAGCCGCCAUCCCUCUCUAAACAAAUCUCAGGAAUCAUAACUUCCCUUCUCCAUUCAUUCACCUCAAAUCCGUAUCAAUCUGAGAUCGUUCUCUUCAUUUUGUCGGUCCUUAUCACCCUCGAUUAACAUCACGUUUUGAUUAUGAAAUUGACCCGUCGACUGCUCGUGCUUCGGAGUCUAUGCAGGGUUAGCUGUUUGCCAAGAUUCACGUGGAUAAGCAAGCAGUUAUGAUUUGAAAGCUGGUCCACUCCGAUCCUUUUAUUCUUCGGAGGCUUAUUUUAUUUUAUAUAGAUUGUCAAACUGAUUUUUAUUCUUAGACCGCAGUAGUAAAUUAGAAGUUCAUAUUACAUUAGAUGUUUGUCAGAUUUGUCUGACUGACUUUAUUUUAUGCUUUGACAUACUUAUUUGUUUAA